UUUAUGGAGAGUUUGAUCCUGGCUCAGGACGAACGCUGGCGGCGUGCCUAAUACAUGCAAGUCGAGCGGACCUUAUAAGAGCU
rnacentral:rRNA from 1 species